AGCAAAGCUGCACCGCCAUUUCCUGUGCUUGGGAACUGAAGGCAAGCUACCGCAUAGCAACAUGGUAGAGACUGUGACGUUUUGCUCGGCAUCAGGUGAAGGCAUUCGGGAGUAAGUUUCACAACAGAAGACAGGCUCAGAAGCAGAUCAUCCGAGUCGGGGGAGAGAGGCGGCGACUAGUCAGGCUCCCUCGAAUCCCAGGCUGUGAUUAUUAUCUGCAGCCUGUGUCACCCAGGAUGAAAGGGGAUGGAAAAGCCGUGCAUACCCUUGGUGACAAAGCCACUCCUGCUCUUAAAGGCUGGAGCAGGACAUCUGACACAAUCCCAGGUCUCCAUGGAGGCAGGGGCAUGGCCGGCAGCUGUAGACCACAGCCUCCGGGCUCUGGCGUGGAGGAAGAAAAGGAAACCAGCACAGAAUUUUUUUUUUUUUGAGACGGAGUCUGGCUCUGUCCCCAGGCUGGGGUGCAGUGGUGUGAUCUUGGCUCACUGCAACCUCUGCCUCCAGGAUUCAAGUGAUUCUCCUACAUCAGCCUCCUGAGUAGCUGGGAUUACAGGUGCUGGCCACCACGCCAGGGUAAUUUUUGUAUUUUUAGUAGAGGCGGGGUUUCACCAUGUUGGCCAAGCUGGUCUUGAACUCCUGACCUCAUGAUCAGCUCGCCUCAGCCUCCCAAAGUCUUGGGAUUGCAGGCGUGACCCAUCGCACCCGGCCAGCACAGAAUAUUUUUAAUUGAAAAAGGAGGGGGCUGCUUUGUGAAUUUUUUUUUUUUUUUUUGAGAUAGAGUCUUGCUCUGUCCCCAGGCUGGAGUGCAGUGGUGCGAUCUUGGCUCACUGCAACCUCUGCCUCCAGGAUUCAAGCGAUUCUCCUACAUCAGCCUC
rnacentral:lncRNA from 10 species